rnacentral:lncRNA from 1 species
GUCUGUGAUAGAGAAGCAAAUGCCUCAUGAAUAGGCUUCUGGUUGGUUUAGCUGGUAUGUCACGUUAAGACAGUUUGAAGUUGCAUUUCAGACAUUUCAAAACAAAUUCAAAUUUACUAAGGGCCUUUACUGAGAGUGGAAGAAAUUCUGGACUCAUCUGUGUGCAAGUUAUAUUUAUGUUGUUCAAAUUGAUUCAGAUAUUGUGUCCUUGUGGUGUGACGAUCGAGUGAAGUCAUCAGUCCUGGUGCUGCUCUUUCCUUUUUUACUUAGGCCGGUUCCUGGGACUUCUUAGGACAAAUGUCUCAUCCCAGCCAAAGAUGUCAUUUCUUCCCUUGAAAGCAUGUUCCCACAGCCCAGCCAUUCCUCUAAACCUCAGAUAGAAAGACUGAGCUUUUACUGUUUCUUUUUCUGUCCUGUUUAGACGUCCAUCCUAAGGCCCCGU